CCAAGGUAUACAAGCUCUGAAUAUUGACCAUAAGCCAUGUUUUCUAAGAGUUCAUCUUUGUCCAUUCAAGGAAGGAUGUUUUGAAGAGGGUGCAGUUAUUUGUGUACCAUAUCCUUCUGACAUAUUUUUAUGGACUUCAAGUUCAGAGAGAAAUGAAGAGGGACUUCAAAUGUCUCAGUCGCUAUGCGAUUAUACUUCAAAGAACAUUCCUCUGGUAGAUGGGAAAUGCAGAUACCAGAUGAUUCAUUGCUAGCAAAUCUCACCGGUGGCCUAUUGGCUUUGUCACAACAGGAUCUGUUCAAGGAAGCAAGAGUCUUCUAGCUGAGGGCUUUUGCGAGGCUGUUUUACUAUCUCAUUUGAGAGAGGAACAGUGGAAGGAGAUGCCUAUGAAAAAGAGGAGAGAAAUAUAUGUACUUGUCAGGAAUUUGAGAUCUACAGCAUAUAGACUUGCUCUUGCCUCUAUCAUUCUUGAAUACAAGGAAAAUGACAUUGAGUUCUUGUAAAGUGUUUUU